UUCUGGGCCCGCCUGUGGCUCAGGGCAGAAAGAG
ncrna:Paenibacillus algorifonticola L31-Firmicutes ribosomal protein leader